GUACACGCUGUGACUAGCAUAUCAAUAAGCGGAGGAAAAGAAACUAACAAGGAUUCCCUCAGUAACGGCGAGUGAAGCGGGAAGAGCUCAAAUUUGAAAUCUUGAAAGGUCACCUUUCACGAAUUGUAGUUUAAAGAAGUGUUUUCUGUUACGAUCGUAAUAUAAGUUCUUUGGAAUAGGACAUCACAGAGGGUGAGAAUCCCGUCUAUGAUUGCGAUUUGUAGCUUUGUGAUACACUUUCAAAGAGUCGGGUUGUUUGGGAAUGCAGCCCAAAACGGGAGGUAAAUUUCUUCUAAGGCUAAAUAUUGGCGAGAGACCGAUAGCGAACAAGUACCGUGAGGGAAAGAUGAAAAGAACUUUGAAAAGAGAGUUAAAUAGUACGUGAAAUUGUCAAAAGGGAAGCGUUUAACACCAGUGUUGUUUUCUGAAAAUCAACCUCUGUUAGCUUUAUGCAUGUUUGUUUAGACCUAAUCAGCUAUCUUGCAUGUUCUAUUGUUUGCAGUGGUGCACUUUUCAGUUUACAGGUCAACAUCAGUUUUUUUUACCGUAAAAAAGUUAAAGAAAGGUAGCUCAUGGCUCCGGUCGUGAGUGUUAUAGUCUUUUUCCUAUGCGGUAGGAGAGACUGAGGUCUGCAGUGUAGGCUAUUUGGCUAGAUACUCAGGUGCUAUGUGAUACCAUUUCAUAAACAACUAGUUGAUUAUGUUUUGUCUAUUGCAUACUCGCUUGUACUAUCAUACCUACGCUUAGGAUGUUGAGUAGCGACAUACGCAC
rnacentral:rRNA from 1 species